UAUUUUAGAGUUAUUAUUUACAAUACUGAUAAAUCAUCAUUUCCAUUUUUCGUUCUCUCCCAUAUCGUCAUUCUACAAUUUAGCACGUCGCGCCUUGUCAAUAAUUGAACAUACCUGAUACGGAUUUAUUGUAACGGGGAACGGGAGUUUCGACAGGUAACACGGUGAAAUUAUAUCAGCACCAAUGUCAAGCUCCGUUAAGGGACAACGGGGAUCUAACGGUUAGGUCACGUGAUGACGGGGCGAGGAGAUAACGAAACGGUUGGGGUAGAAAUGGAACGGACACCCCCGGGGCGAAGAACAGCCCGCGGGAGACCCAGAAAAUUACGGGGGAAAAAAAUGAUAAUUUAAAAAGUUGGCAAGUCGAAAACUGGAGAUAGGCGAUUUCAGAUAGAAACAGGUCGAUAGAGUGGUGUAAUUACGGCGGUAGAAACCCUUGGGGAGUAUAUUUUAUACGAGGUAGUUACUGACCCGUGUUAGUAGAAGAAGUGAAAUAAUACGAUUUAUUCCAUUUUUUUUUUUUUUUUAUUUUUUAUUUAUACGUGUAUUAUUGAUUUUCGGUAAAAUGGCUAUGUCGCACUUACGACGAAUAUCAUAUUCAUUGAUAUCUACAGUAUAGGUAUAUUGUAGGUAAGGUCCGAAAAAUGGAUUCUAUUGGUGUAAGCAGUGACGUGGUUGCCCGGUGUUUGCCCUGAUGCGAUAUUACGCCCGGCCCAAAGGUGAUUCCUAGCGAUUUGACGUAUAUUUGUUUGGUUUUUCAUGAUAAUUAUUACGCCAACGUCUGAGAUUUCGUCACCACGUCACUGGGCUUAAGUAUGUUAAUACUAUCGUCUAUAAUUGUCAACACGUGAAUUAAUCGACACAGUACACGUCCUAUACAAUUUACUAUUCAAUCGUACGUACAAUUUUGUUCUAUAUUCGAUUCAGUAAUUGUAUUUUAACGCUAAUAUUAAUAGAAAAUGUGAACUUAGUAUUUAUUAUUAUUAUUAUUAUUAUUAAUUGUGUAUUCUAAAUAACUUAUAUAAUGUACCAUUCGGCUUUACUAUAAUUUUAUAAUAUGCUCGAGAUGGUAUUAUAGUUAAAAAUGGUAACAUUCUACCACGUUGUUUGUAUUAAAUUAGUUGUAAAUAAGUUUAAG